UUUAAAGGUCACACCACCCUGAGCGCGCCCGAUCUCGUCUGAUUUUGGAAGCUAAGCAGGAUCAAGCCUGGUUACCUGGAGCAGGUCAUCUACUCACUGGAAGAUUGAUGGUUCAAUCCCUGGCUGCUUCAGAC
ensembl:rRNA 5S_rRNA 5S ribosomal RNA